AAGGUUGACCUCGGAUCAGGUAG
rnacentral:rRNA from 2 species